CCCUGGUUAGCUCAGUUGGUAGAGCGCUCCACUGGAAAUGGAGAGGUCCCGGGUUUGAUUCCCGGAGCAGGCG
rnacentral:tRNA from 1 species